rnacentral:lncRNA from 1 species
AUAAAGUCCAUAUUAUGUGUAUGUGUAUACAUAUUUAUGUUAGAUAUGGCCUAUGUGAUUUAUUUAAAGCAUUUAUAAAGAUAUAAUCGAUAUAUUCAAAACGAUCUAUAAAGAUACGGUCGAUCUAACGAUUAAGAUGUAUCUGGACAUGCGCUUGAUGAGUGGACGUGAUUACAUAUUCUUACAUUAGGUUAUGCAUAUAUAUAACAUACGGAAGUUCUGAUCUAUCUCUAAUCCUAAUUUUCUGUGAUGGCUUCAUGUCCGGAGAUAAAAGGAAUAGACUCGAAACAUCUCGCUUUUUUACAAAUCGUAAAC